rnacentral:tRNA from 1 species
GGUCCCAUAGCACAAUGGAAGUGCAUCCCCCUGAUAAGGGGAAGACGUCGGAUCGUAACCGGCUGGGACUACCA